rnacentral:rRNA from 1 species
UAGCCGUAAACGAUACUCGCUAGGUGUCGGCCACGGUGCGACCGUUGUCGGUGCCGUAGGGAAGCCGUGAAGCGAGCCACCUGGGAAGUACGGCCGCAAGGCUGAAACUUAAAGGAAUUGGCGGGGGAGCACCACAAGAGGUGGAGGCUGCGGUUCAAUUGGACUCAACGCCGGAAACUCAUCGGGAGCGACAGCAACAUGAAGGCCAGGCUGAAGACUUUGCCGGAUUAGCUGAGAGGUGGUGCAUGGCGUAG